UACGUAGGGGCCUAGCGUUGUCCGGAUUUAUUGGGCGUAAAGAGCUCGUAGGCGGUUUGGUAAGUCGGGUGUGAAAUCUCCACGCUCAACGUGGAGGGGCCACCCGAUACUGCCAUGACUGGAGUCCGGUAGGGGAGUGUGGAAUUCCCGGUGUAGCGGUGAAAUGCGCAGAUAUCGGGAGGAACACCAGUAGCGAAGGCGGCUACCUGGACAAUUGCUGACGCUCAGGCACGAAAGCGUGGGAGCAA
rnacentral:rRNA from 1 species